rnacentral:rRNA from 1 species
GACGAACGCUGGCGGCGUGCCUAAUACAUGCAAGUCGAACGCUUUUUCUUUCACCGGAGCUUGCUCCACCGAAAGAAAAAGAGUGGCGAACGGGUGAGUAACACGUGGGUAACCUGCCCAUCAGAAGGGGAUAACACUUGGAAACAGAUGCUAAUACCGUAUAACACUAUUUUCCGCAUGGAAGAAAGUUGAAAGGCGCUUUUGCGUCACUGAUGGAUGGACCCGCGGUGCAUUAGCUAGUUGGUGAGGUAACGGCUCACCAAGGCAACGAUGCAUAGCCGACCUGGGAGGGUGAUCGGCCACACUGGGACUGAGACACGGCCCAGACUCCUACGGGAGGCAGCAGUAGGGAAUCUUCGGCAAUGGACGAAAGUCUGACCGAGCAACGCCGCGUGAGUGAAGAAGGUUUUCGGAUCGUAAAACUCUGUUGUUAGAGAAGAACAAGGAUGAGAGUAAAAUGUUCAUCCCUUGACGGUAUCUAACCAGAGAGCCACGGCUAACUACGUGCCAGCCGCCGCGGUAA